AACGAACGCUGGCGGCAUGCCUAACACAUGCAAGUCGAACGAGACCUCCGGGUCUUGUGGCGCACGGGUGCGUAACGCGUGGGAACCUGCCCUUAGGUUCGGAAUAACUCCCCGAAAGGGGUGCUAAUACCGGAUAAUGUCUUCGGACCAAAGAUUUAUUGCCUUUGGAUGGGCCCGCGUUGGAUUAGCUAGUUGGUAGGGUAAAAGCCUACCAAGGCGUCGAUCCAUAGCUGGUCUGAGAGGAUGAUCAGCCACACUGGGACUGAGACACGGCCCAGACUCCUACGGGAGGGAGCAGUGGGGAAUAUUGGACAAUGGGCGAAAGCCUGAUCCAGCAAUGCCGGGUGAGUGAUGAAGGCCUUAGGGUUGUAAAGCUCUUUUACCCGGGAUGAUAAUGACGGUACCGGGAGAAUAAGCACCGGCUAACUCCGUG
rnacentral:rRNA from 1 species